rnacentral:rRNA from 2 species
AGCCCAGAGCCUGAAUCAGUGUGUGUGUUAGUGGAAGCGUCUGGAAAGGCGCGCGAUACAGGGUGACAGCCCCGUACACAAAAAUGCACAUACUGUGAGCUCGAUGAGUAGGGCGGGACACGUGGUAUCCUGUCUGAAUAUGGGGGGACCAUCCUCCAAGGCUAAAUACUCCUGACUGACCGAUAGUGAACCAGUACCGUGAGGGAAAGGCGAAAAGAA